UACGGGGGGAGCAAGCGUUGUUCGGAUUUACUGGGCGUAAAGGGCGCGUAGGCGGCCAGCACAAGUCAGUUGUGAAAUCUCCGAGCUUAACUCGGAAAGGUCAACUGAUACUGUGCGGCUAGAGUGCGGAAGGGGCAACUGGAAUUCUUGGUGUAGCGGUGAAAUGCGUAGAUAUCGAGAGGAACACCUGCGGCGAAGGCGGGUUGCUGGGCUGACACUGACGCUGAUGCGCGAAAGCGUGGGGAGCAAACAGG
rnacentral:rRNA from 1 species